GGACUGUAGAGCUUGCUUCUUUGCUGACGAGUGGCGGACGGGUGAGUAAUGCGUAGGAAUCUGCCUUGUUGUGGGGGAUAACUACUGGAAACGGUAGCUAAUACCGCAUACGCUCAGCGGAUGAAAGCGGGGGACCUUCGGACCUCGCGCCAUAAGAUGAGCCUACGUCGGAUUAGCUAGUUGGUGGGGUAAAGGCCUACCAAGGCGACGAUCCGUAGCUGGUCUGAGAGGACGAUCAGCCACACUGGGACUGAGACACGGUCCAGACUCCUACGGGAGGCAGCAGUGGGGAAUAUUGGACAAUGGGCGCAAGCCUGAUCCAGCAAUGCCGCGUGUGUGAAGAAGGCCUGAGGGUUGUAAAGCACUUUCAGCGGGAAGAAGGGCGGGGGUUUAAUACCUAUGCUCAUUGACGUUACCUGCAGAAGAAGCACCGGCUAACUCCGUGCCAGCAGCCGCGGUAAUACGGAGGGUGCAAGCGUUAAUCGGAAUUACUGGGCGUAAAGCGCACGCAGGCGGUUUGUUAAGUCAGAUGUGAAAUCCCCGGGCUUAACCUGGGAACUGCAUCUGAUACUGUCAGGCUCGAGUGUGGUAGAGGGUAGUGGAAUUUCCGGUGUAGCGGUGAAAUGCGUAGAGAUCGAAAAAACCGAGAGGGGUGGGGA
rnacentral:rRNA from 1 species